CACACAUUCCGUGGUUACCUGGCAAGGAUGGAGUCUUCAGAGAGUGAACCAUUCGGCAGGUGAAAUUCAUGAGGGAAAAGGAAGGAAAGGACUGGAACAUGUGCCCCUUGAGACCAAGAGGGCGGGUGUUCCCGGAAAGCAGACGGGAAAUCCAUCCUUGUUCUUCUUCCACCAUCCAGCCAUCCUCUCCUGCACCGCAACGCAGGGCUGGUGCACAGUGUCCGCUACCUUGUGGCCGUGCCCGACCCUGAGAGCUCCUCCGGGAGACAGGCCUCCACGAGCUCCUUUUAUCCCCCUGUGCUAACUUCAACCACCAGGAGCCUUGUAGAGAACAGGCUUGUUGCUGUGUGAUGAAGUGGAGAAGGAGCGGUUCCUGUCAUCCUAUAUUUUCAGAAAGGGUGUAGCACAAACACAAGAGGAACAGCAUGGGGAGAAUUGUAGUGGCAUUCGGAGGAAAGGACCACGUCCACAGACUCCUUUCCUGACCAUCACAGAGUUAUCAACAACUACAGCCUCAUCGUAUCUUGCCAGCCCCUCAGAACCAGAGAAUCCUAUUUGUCUCAACCACAAAUAUUUUCCAGUUCAACCUACAUUCCGUACAAGACCAAACGCCAAACUGACGUGGCUGAAUGAAAAUGAGGUCUUUGUCAGUUUUUCUAUUGAUUUAAAAGAUGGCAACACCACUCAUGCAAAGUCUGAAUGGAGCCUGUGAAUCAUGGCGCCCUGGACUGACCUCACCAGUAGGGGGAUGCUGAUGGCCCAGGUGCCAGGAAGCAGCACCAACGAUGUGGGGCCAGAUUUAUAGCAAUCUCAAGAAGACUCACAGAAUGAUGAUCAGUAUAAUAAUAUGAAGAAUUAUUUAAUCAUAAAUCUAAACAGUCCAUUGAAGAGGAAGGAUGGCGUCAUCUUGCUGACCUCGGAACUGAACAUGGCGCUUCGCUUGGGGACUACACUGCCUCUAAGUUUCCUAUUGAAUUAUGCAAACACUUUCCAUCUUCUGAGAAGAGGAAUGUUUUAAAUUCACCUGCAAAAAGUAAAAUAAAACAAAACAGUAUUUUUUCUAGAAACUAGAUUUAUAUAACGCAGAUAAUUUGUUUUAUUCCCCAAGACCAUGGAUAAUCUAAUAAACAUCAUCAACCCGAGUUUUAAAAAAAGGAGAUUUUCUGUAAAAUAAGGCCUAAAGCAAAAUCCAAGCCAGCAAGUGUGUAUCCGUCUGGGGUCCUGUGGUGAGAAGUGAGGUUCAACAUAAUAGCUGUUGCUUCUCAUGAAAUGGUAGUUAUCUAAGUAAUAAAUUCCAGAAACAUUUAUUUUGUUUAAUAUUCUUAGAGUUAAGAAGUUCUUGAAGCAUACUAUUGUCG
rnacentral:lncRNA from 1 species